CCUACGGGGGGCUGCAGUGGGGAAUAUUGCACAAUGGGCGCAAGCCUGAUGCAGCCAUGCCGCGUGUGUGAAGAAGGCCUUCGGGUUGUAAAGCACUUUCAGCGGGGAGGAAGGCGUUAAGGUUAAUAACCUUGGCGAUUGACGUUACCCGCAGAAGAAGCACCGGCUAACUCCGUGCCAGCAGCCGCGGUAAUACGGAGGGUGCAAGCGUUAAUCGGAAUUACUGGGCGUAAAGCGCACGCAGGCGGUCUGUCAAGUCGGAUGUGAAAUCCCCGGGCUCAACCUGGGAACCGCAUUCGAAACUGGCAGGCUAGAGUCUUGUAGAGGGGGGUAGAAUUCCAGGUGUAGCGGUGAAAUGCGUAGAGAUCUGGAGGAAUACCGGUGGCGAAGGCGGCCCCCUGGACAAAGACUGACGCUCAGGUGCGAAAGCGUGGGGAGCAAACAGGAUUAGAUACCCCGGUAGUC
rnacentral:rRNA from 1 species